rnacentral:rRNA from 1 species
AUUGAACGCUGGCGGAAUGCUUUACACAUGCAAGUCGAACGGCAGCACGGACUUCGGUCUGGUGGCGAGUGGCGAACGGGUGAGUAAUGUAUCGGAACGUGCCCAGUCGUGGGGGAUAACGUAGUGAAAAUUACGCUAAUACCGUAUACGAUCUAUGGAUGAAAGCGGGGGAUCGCAAGACCUCGCGCGAUUGGAGCGGCCGAUAUCAGAUUAGGUAGUUGGUGGGGUAAAGGCCCACCAAGCCAACGAUCUGUAGCUGGUCUGAGAGGACGACCAGCCACACUGGAACUGAGACACGGUCAAGACUCCUACGGGAGGCAGCAGUGGGGAAUUUUGGACAAUGUGCGAAGGCCUGAUCCAGCCAUUCCGCGUGCAGGAUGAAGGCCCUCGGGUUGUAAACUGCUUCUGUACAGAACGAAAAGGUUUCUACUAAUACUAGGAGCUCAUGACGGUACUGUAAGAAUAAGCACCGGCUAACUACGUGCCAGCCGCCGCCGUAA